AGAGUUUGAUCAUGGCUCAGGACGAACGCUGGCGGCGUGCCUAACACAUGCAAGUCGAACGGACGAGGCCCCUUCGGGGACCGAGUUAGUGGCGGACGGGUGAGUAACGCGUGAGCAACCUGCCUUUCAGAGGGGGACAACAGUUGGAAACGACUGCUAAUACCGCAUGAUGCAGCGAGAUCGCAUGGUCUUGCUGUAAAAGAUUUAUCGCUGAAAGAUGGGCUCGCGUCUGAUUAGCUAGUUGGAGGGGUAACGGCCCACCAAGGCGACGAUCAGUAGCCGGACUGAGAGGUUGAACGGCCACAUUGGGACUGAGAUACGGCCCAGACUCCUACGGGAGGCAGCAGUGGGGAAUAUUGGGCAAUGGGGGAAACCCUGACCCAGCAACGCCGCGUGAAGGAAGAAGGCUUUCGGGUUGUAAACUUCUUUUACCAGGGACGAAGAACGUGACGGUACCUGGAGAAAAAGCCACGGCUAACUACGUGCCAGCAGCCGCGGUAAUACGUAGGUGGCAAGCGUUGUCCGGAUUUACUGGGUGUAAAGGGCGUGUAGGCGGAGCUGCAAGUCAGAUGUGAAAUCUGGGGGCUUAACCCUCAAACUGCAUUUGAAACCGUAGCCCUUGAGUAUCGGAGAGGCAGGCGGAAUUCCUAGUGUAGCGGUGAAAUGCGUAGAUAUUAGGAAGAACACCAGUGGCGAAGGCGGCCUGCUGGACGACAACUGACGCUGAGGCGCGAAAGCGUGGGGAGCAAACAGGAUUAGAUACCCUGGUAGUCCACGCUGUAAACGAUGAAUACUAGGUGUGGAGGGACUGACCCCCUCCGUGCCGGAGUUAACACAAUAAGUAUUCCACCUGGGGAGUACGACCGCAAGGUUGAAACUCAAAGGAAUUGACGGGGGCCCGCACAAGCAGUGGAUUAUGUGGUUUAAUUCGACGCAACGCGAAGAACCUUACCGGGAUUUGACAUCCUACUAACGAAGCAGAGAUGCAUUAGGUGCCCUUCGGGGAAAGUAGAGACAGGUGGUGCAUGGUUGUCGUCAGCUCGUGUCGUGAGAUGUUGGGUUAAGUCCCGCAACGAGCGCAACCCCUAUUGUUAGUUGCUACGCAAGAGCACUCUAGCGAGUCUGCCGUUGACAAAACGGAGGAAGGCGGGGACGACGUCAAAUCAUCAUGCCCCUUAUGUCCCGGGCUACACACGUAAUACAAUGGCGGUCAACAAAGGGAAGCAAAGCCGCGAGGCAGAGCAAACCCCCAAAAGCCGUCUCAGUUCGGAUUGCAGGCUGCAACUCGCCUGCAUGAAGCUGGAAUUGCUAGUAAUCGUGGAUCAGAAUGCCACGGUGAAUACGUUCCCGGGCCUUGUACACACCGCCCGUCACACCAUGAGAGUCGGGAACACCCGAAGUCCGUAGUCUAACCCGCAAGGGAGGGCGCGGCCGAAGGUGGGUCUGAUAAUUGGGGUGAAGUCGUAACAAGGUA
rnacentral:rRNA from 1 species